GUUUAGACAGUAGAUUUUGAUUGGCUCAGGGCUGAAGGGCCUGUUCCUGGGCUGUAAAGUUUCUUUGUUUGUUCUUUAAUCCUGUGUUCUACUUAGCCUAUUAAACAGGCUCAUGGUGUUGUAGCCUUUUGAAACAUAUAUUUUAAUGCAAAUAAUGACUUGGAUAAUUCAAGUGAAGUUUAGUUUGCAACAACAAAUUUAAGCAAGUUUCACAGCUGUUAAAAUGCUAAGAAAUCUGUAGCAAGGUCAGCAACCUCAGUGUCAGCAGAGGUAACAUAUUUAAGUCAUUGAGCUUUGUAUUAAUAUUUAUCGUCUCAUUUUAGUUUGAAAACCACAGGCACACUAAUUAGGUGAAAUAGGAUUUUGAAGCUGUAAUAUUUGUUAAUGCUUUAUCUGUCAGUUCAGUCCAUUCGUACUUUAGUUAAUUUGAAAUUGGUGUCACGAUUGCCACUACUACAAAUAAGCCUAACACCAAAUAGUUUGGUAGGGCAAACCAGCAUGCACUGUCCACUUAUAGAAUGUACAGUCAACUUCUUGUACUUGUCCUUCUACCAGAAACAGCUUUGCAUUUUACACAUAAGCAAACUACCUACCUGCAUGAUACUCAGUUGAUCUUUAUAAUGGGGUGCAUUUCCAGAUAGUCUGCUUGUUUUACAGAAGCUUGUAGAAGUAUUUGGUUGAUACUUAACAAGGUAGUGCUCAGAAUUGCUUCUUUGUUGCUUAGAUCUGUUGUUUUAGACAAUACCUUACACUGAAGGUUAUCUGAUCUAACUCCUGUUUCCUUUUAUUAAAUUUCCAGUGCUUCAGCAAAGAAAAAAUACACGUACCUGGCCAGUUUGACUGAUAGGCAUGUCACCUAGUGGUUGGCAUAGCAAGACUAUUACAAUGGAUACAUUUUGAUAAUAACAUCUAAGCAAACAUGGAAACAAACUAAAAUGUGUGGUCUGGCUGACUUGGCAUGUCUUAUUUUCAUAUGACACCUUUACUAUCCCUAUAUUUAUUUCUGUUACUACAUAGGUCAAGUAUCUAGUUUGAUUAAUCACCAGUAUGGCCUAGAACUAGGGGGCAUAGUCUAAGAAUUAGAACCAGACUGUUCAGGAGUACUUUACAUAUAAAGAAUAGUAGAUGUUUGGAAUUGCUCCACAAAUGGCAAUGGAUAUUGGAUCAGUUCAUUUUAAAUCUGAGAUCAUUUUUUUGAGAAGCACAGUUAUCAAGGGGUAUGUGCCAAAGGCAAGUAUGUGGAGUUAGCCCACAGAUUAGCCAUGCUCUCAUUGAAUGGUGGAACAAGCUGAAGGGCCUACUCCUGUUCCAGUGGUCAGAAAAGUUAGUCAGAGAAUGUUAAAGCUUUGUCUUCUGGCUAAUAUUGGUACACACUUGAAGAAACAAUUUUUUACUUGGCCAAAAUUCAGUAAAUUGAGAGCUUUCUAAUUAACUCAUUCAGAGAUGUUCAACACUUGAAGAAUAUGUGGGACCUGAAGCUGGUCCUCCUUCCCCAGAAGUAUUGGCAUUACCAUCACUUCGCAAAGCCCCAUCCCACCCACUGCAAAUUGUGAAAGUUUUUAACAGUUUGAAAAGUCUGCUGUGGAUUAGCUGCUUUCUUUAAUAUUCAAGCAAUUCACAUCUGUUGAAAGGCUUUACCCAUCAAAUCAGAAACAUUAGUAAAACCUACUAAUAUUACAUAUUUAUACAAUUGACUCAUCCAUUGAAAGGUGAUAGCUAGUUUAUAUCCAGUUUGUUGUCAGCAAUAAUAAAAACAGAAAAUGCUAGAAAUACUUGGCCAGUGAGGCAGCAUCUGUGGAGAGAGAGCAGACUGGUUAAAUUUCAGGUCAGUGAUUUCACUGAAAGGUCAUAGAUCUGAAUCAUCAGUUAUCUAUCUCUCUCUUCAUACUUGUGCCUGUGCUGCUGAAUCUUCCAGCAUAUUCUAUUUUUUUAUUUCAGAUUUCCAGCAUCUACAAUGGUUUAUGUUAGAUUCCAGAGAAAGAGGAUUUAUAUUUUCUGUGUACUCUGAUCAAAUCUGUCCUUAGGCUAACUGUUUACAUGCCAAUCCUAUGGCCUACUAUGUGUUCGCUUUUUUUUGGUAAACCACAGAUUUUUGUUCCUUGCAUUUCAGUCAAUUUAAAGAAGUUUACAGUGAUGGUUCUGCCAGACAAGUCAACAAGCUGGUCCAUAACCAGUGUUUUACCAAUUGGAAUAAGUGAAAAUUUGGGCCUGACAUCCCUGAAGUUGGGCUGCUUUUCUAGGUGGUCCUAAGUUUAAAACAGUGGAAUUCAAGUUGGCCCAAUGUGUUGAUUUUUCAUUCCUACCCACCUUCCCUCCCUGGGAACCAUCUUUGGAUGAAAUUGGAUCUGAUCGAACUCCAUGAACUUGAUUUUGUUCAGAUCAAGGAAUUGUUUCAAGAGUUUGAAUAUCUAGUCCUCCAGUGUGAAGAAGUCAACUCAUUUCAGUUAAUUUAUUCAUCAACCUCUUCUCUGGCACACUGUCCAGGGGCUUCCAGCACAACGUACAUGGCUGAAGUAAAAUUGAUGUGUCAAGUUGGUUACCUAACUUCCAAACAAUUUAAUAUACAACUAUUUUCUUCUGUUUUUCAUUCACAGAAUUCUGCACAGAUAUGAAAUCUUGACUGUGCAAGUAAGAAAAUAGGGCAUACCUAAACAGGGUGAAGGCUUUGGAGAUGUGCUAAAUUUGUCCUUAGUUUUUGAUGGUGAAAAGGUUGCAUCAGUUUACCCUAUGGCCACUACAGUCAAUAUUGGACUGCAUGAUCCGUGUUUUUCUAAGCUGUCUCUUCAGUGACAAGUUAAUUCCAAGGUUAAUAUUCAUGAAGAAAAGAAAUGUGGAAGAAGUCAAUUGACAAGUUUUGUGUAAUAAUUGAAGCUCAGGAAUAAGUGAAGCUGAAUUGGGGAAAAAAAAGAAUGCAUGCUAAAAAAAAAGACACGAAGUCCCACAAAUAGAAUGUGUGCAGUGUGUGAAGUGGGAAGAUGAACCAAGUGAGAAUUUGAAA